rnacentral:rRNA from 1 species
UACGGAGGGUGCAAGCGUUAUCCGGAUUCACUGGGUUUAAAGGGUGCGUAGGUGGGCUAGUAAGUCAGUGGUGAAAUCUCCGGGCUUAACCCGGAAACUGCCAUUGAUACUAUUAGUCUUGAAUGUUGUGGAGGUAAGCGGAAUAUGUCAUGUAGCGGUGAAAUGCUUAGAUAUGACAUAGAACACCGAUAGCGUAGGCAGCUUACUACACAAAUAUUGACACUGAGGCACGAAAGCGUGGGGAUCAAACAGGAUUAGAUACCCUGGUAGUCCACGCCCUAAACGAUGGAUACUCGACAUCAGCGAUACACUGUUGGUGUCUGAGCGAAAGCAUUAAGUAUCCCACCUGGGAAGUACGACCGCAAGGUUGAA